AUUGAACGCUGGCGGCAGGCCUAACACAUGCAAGUCGAGCGAGUGGCGGAUGGGUGAGUAAUGUAUGGGGAUCUGACUGAUGGAGGGGGAUAACUACUGGAAACGGUAGCUCAUACCGCAUACCAUCAGAUGAGCCCAUAUGGGAUUAGCUAGUUGGUAAGGUAACGGCUUACCUAGGCGACGAUCCCUAGCUGGUCUUAGAGGCUGCACGUCCACAUUGGGACUGAGACACGGCCCAGACUCCUACGGGAGGGAGCAGUGGGGAAUAUUGCACGAGGGGCGCAAGCCUGAUGCAGCCAUGCCGCGUGUAUGAAGAAGGCCUUCGGGUUGUAAAGUACUUGCAGUCGGGAGGCGUUACCGACAGAAGAAGCACCGGCUAACUCCGUGCCAGCAGCCGCGGUAAUAC
rnacentral:rRNA from 1 species